rnacentral:rRNA from 1 species
UACGUAGGGUGCAAGCGUUAAUCGGAAUUACUGGGCGUAAAGCGUGCGCAGGCGGUGAUGUAAGACAGAUGUGAAAUCCCCGGGCUUAACCUGGGAACUGCACUUGUGACUGCAUCGCUGGAGUGCGGCAGAGGGGGAUGGAAUUCCGCGUGUAGCAGUGAAAUGCGUAGAUAUGCGGAGGAACACCGAUGGCGAAGGCAAUCCCCUGGGCCUGCACUGACGCUCAUGCACGAAAGCGUGGGGAGCAAACAGG